CGUCCGGGGGUCCGGUUGGCUUGGGGGUCAUCGCCUCCUGGGGAAGGCGGAACAUCUAUCAGAGAAGUCGCCACAUCUGUGUCUCCUUCAGGGACCUGAGCGUACCUGAGAUCCAGCCCUGAGCACGACAGGACGGAGGGACAAGGAAACUCCCCUGCUCAACUUGGAGGAGGAGCUGAUGAUGGAAGCAUGACGUCUACUCAAGAAAGACAAAGAAGGGUUUCCCCCUCCGCUACUUUCCCUUCGAUUAAAAAACUGCAGCCCACUAAGUUUUCAGGGUGCAGCAUUUCUCACCCACCUGCUUGUAGGCCCCCAAGUAUCCUAGUCUAAUAAAUAGCUUAUCUACCA